rnacentral:hammerhead_ribozyme from 1 species
CUUUACUCGACGAGUCCCAAACAGGACGAAACGCGCGUCCUGGAU